CCCACCUCCACAAAACUUUAUCUCCAACCUUUACGUUGAUGGAAGGGGGAUCCCAAGAGUAUCCCUGACCGUGAACUGGACAACACAGAGACAAGUGUUGGAAUGGGAAUGCCGUUGAUGCUGACACGGACCGUGUACCGGUCACUCGGCAUGGGUCUGCCAAGAAGAUGAUGUACGUGGUAAAGUAAUACGACUACAGUCUGGCUACAAGAUUCUCAGUCAUCACGGCCACGGUCAUCUGACAAGGUUGAAUUAUUCUUUUUCUUAUGAAAAUGUUCAAAAAUGAUUUGGCUUUAGUUGAGAUUGCAAUUUUAUUGAAAUUAUAGUUACUCACUACUUUCCUCCCCAAAUAAUUCCAUUCGUAAAUGUAUUACGUUUCAUGAUCGGGAUUAGUUUUGAGGGAAAAGUCAUUUGUUUUACUUUUUUUGAAAAACCUUGAAAUAUGGUAAAGAGCUUUUGACAUUUUUGAGUAGCUUUCAUGGGCCAGUUAGAGUAGGAGAGCGAAGAUGGGUACUUUAAUAUCUAUUAGACUUUUAACCACAACUUUAUAUUUGAAAUAUAAUAACACUGACUGGCAUGUAUUCUUUUACCUCUGGGGAAAAAAAAAAAAAAAAAAAGACUGAUUACAAUCUAUAACAUAAAAUCUACAUGUA